rnacentral:rRNA from 1 species
UACGUAGGGUGCGAGCGUUAAUCGGAAUUACUGGGCGUAAAGCGUGCGCAGGCGGUUUUGUAAGACAGAGGUGAAAUCCCCGGGCUUAACCUGGGAACUGCCUUUGUGACUGCAAGGCUUGAGUGCGGCAGAGGGGGAUGGAAUUCCGCGUGUAGCAGUGAAAUGCGUAGAUAUCCGGAGGAACACCAGUGGCGAAGGCGGCUUCCUGGCCCGAAUCUGACGCUGAGGUGCGGAAGCGUGGGGAGCGAUCCGG